CGCACAUGCGCGUUCAUGUGAGGCGAGACCUUUUUCAGAACAUGUUUCAAGACACAGGAGAGGUCGGGUUGAAAUAUUACUGAUGUUUCACGUUAAAAAUGGACCAAAAGAUUGAUGCUAAACAACGUUUGACAUGUUUGAACGAACGUAAAUAGAUUUUUUUUUGUUACUUUUCAUCGUGACUUUUCCCUCCCGCGUCCUACAUUUUGAGUAGUCUACCGAACGCCCUAACAACAUGGAACAUCAUUGAGUUAUUUGGACAUAAAUUAUGAACUUCAUCGAAAAAAAACAACAUUUGUUGUGGACCUGAGAUUCCUGGAAGUGCCUUCUGAUGAAGAUUAUUAAAGCUUUCCACAGGGAUGCUGGAUAACCUUUGGACGGUGGACCAUUCCUAAUCUACACGGGAAACUGUUGAGUGUGGAAAAACCCAGCAGUGUUGCAGUUCUUGACACACACCAGUGUCCCUGGUACCUACUACCAUACCCCGUUCAAAGGGGGAAACGCUGAUAGUCUUGACGAACAAAACGAACUGGCAACAGACAACCAGAGAACACAGGUAUAAAUACACAGGGGAUAAUGAGGAAGAUGGGCG
rnacentral:lncRNA from 1 species